rnacentral:rRNA from 1 species
UAGAGGAUACACCUGUUUCCAUGUCGAACACAGAAGUUAAGCUCUAUAACGCCGAUGGUAGUUAGGAUUUUCCUUGCGAGAGUAGGGAGCUGCCAUGC